AGAGUUUGAUCAUGGCUCAGGACGAACGCUGGCGGCGUGCCUAAUACAUGCAAGUCGAGCGCGGGAAGCCGGCGGACUCCUUCGGGAGGAAACCGGUGGAACGAGCGGCGGACGGGUGAGUAACACGUGGGCAACCUGCCGGACUGAUGGGAAUAACCCCGGGAAACCGGGGCUAAUGCCCAAUACGCCCUGACCUCGCCUGAGGUCAGCGGUAAAGCAGGGAUCUUCGGAUCCUUGCACAGUCCGAUGGGCCCGCGGCGCAUUAGCUAGUUGGAGAGGUAAGGGCUCCCCAAGGCGACGAUGCGUAGCCGACCUGAGAGGGUGAUCGGCCACACUGGGACUGAGACACGGCCCAGACUCCUACGGGAGGCAGCAGUAGGGAAUCAUCCGCAAUGGGCGAAAGCCUGACGGUGCAACGCCGCGUGAGUGAUGAAGGUUUUCGGAUCGUAAAGCUCUGUUGACAGGGAAGAACCCACGUCAGUCGAACAGGCUGGCGUGCUGACGGUACCUGUCCAGAAAGCCCCGGCUAACUACGUGCCAGCAGCCGCGGUAAUACGUAGGGGGCAAGCGUUGUCCGGAAUUAUUGGGCGUAAAGGGCACGCAGGCGGUUUCGUCAGUCCGAUGUGACAGGCCACGGCUCAACCGUGGAAGGCCAUUGGAAACUGCGAAACUUGAGGACAGAAGAGGAGAGUGGAAUUCCACGUGUAGCGGUGAAAUGCGUAGAUAUGUGGAGGAACACCAGUGGCGAAGGCGACUCUCUGGUCUGUACCUGACGCUGAGGUGCGAAAGCAUGGGGAGCAAACAGGAUUAGAUACCCUAGUAGUCC
rnacentral:rRNA from 1 species